rnacentral:rRNA from 1 species
UCCGGGGGGGGCAAGCGUUGUUCGGAAUUACUGGGCGUAAAGGGCUCGUAGGUGGCCAACUAAGUCGGACGUGAAAUCCCUCGGCUUAACCGGGGAACUGCGUCCGAUACUGGUUGGCUUGAGUUUGGGAGAGGGAUGCGGAAUUCCAGGUGUAGCGGUGAAAUGCGUAGAUAUCAGGAGGAACACCGGUGGCGAAGGCGGGUCUCUGGGCCGAUACUGACGCUGAGGAGCGAAAGCGUGGGGAGCGAACAGG